GCAUCUGAAUCAUCUUCAUUUAGCAUCCUUGAUAGCUGAUCUUGAUCAUCACUUAAACAGGGACAGUAAUGAUCAACUAAGUCUGAAUCAUGUGCUAUUGCAACCACAGAGUUGGAGUAAAACAAUCAAAGGACCUUCCACGUGGGUCUUGAAAUAAUGCAUGGCCGUAUCAACAUGUUGAUCCCAAACAGUACACUUAAGAUGAUUGCCCCUAAAAGUUAAAUAAACAGAUUGUGUAACUACCCUACACCUCAAAGUGAUAUAAUUGAUGCUUUAAACAGUGGCCUGGUGUAACUAUAGUACUGAUCAAAGUGAAAAAUUGAAUGCAUUAAACAGUGGCCUGUUGAAAUUGAAAGAGAACUUACCUCACUGUCAUGAAAGACACAUUCCUGACUCUUGAUGCUAUCCGAACUGUUGCGACCUUCGGGUACCGUAUAGAUAUUCAGAAAUUUGAAAGCAACCAAGAAAGAUGAAGGAAUCACUUAGACUGAAGGAGAGAAUAAUGGUAGACAAUUAUGAAGUUAGUACCAAGUAUUUAUACAGGCUUGGUGAGAAGUUUCAAAUCAGCCAUGAUCUCUCGGUUGCCUCCCAAAUGAGACUGCACAUUGGAAGAACAAACGACGCAUGGGCAAAUUUAAUUUGCAACUUCAUAUAUAUAUGUUGUAUCCGUUGUAUGUAGAUCGUAAAAUCAAUUGUAUUUGUAUUUGUAUCGUAUU